rnacentral:rRNA from 1 species
UACGUAGGGGGCAAGCGUUGUCCGGAAUCAUUGGGCGUAAAGCGCGUGUAGGCGGCUCGGUAAGUCCGCUCUGAAAGUCCGGGGCUCAACCCCGGGAGGCGGGUGGAUACUGUCGAGCUAGAGUCCGGAAGAGGCGAGUGGAAUUCCUGGUGUAGCGGUGAAAUGCGCAGAUAUCAGGAGGAACACCAGUGGCGAAGGCGGUUCUCUGGGCCGAUACUGACGCUGAGGAGCGAAAGCAUGGGUAGCGAACAGG